UCGGGUGAUGUAGAUGGUGAGAAC
rnacentral:siRNA from 1 species